CGCAUGGAUUUACAGAGACUCCAUCUGCUGAAUGAGUACCAGUGAUGCAUUAUUUGUAGCUUGAAAUGUCCUUGAGAAGAUGGACAUAAAAACCCUAAAGUCUCUUUUAACGUCUAGUGAUGACAUGCAAACACCAACACACCGAAUCCAAGAUCGCACCACAAAGCCAAGAUAGUUCCCUCCCCUACCUGUUCUACAUUGACCACAAGCUAACAGGCCUUAAUCAGCAGUCGUUGAACAUUGAUGAACUCACGUUUUGCUGUUUCCUCCCAAGCAACCCUGUAAAAGGUCCAGUUUGCUGACCUUGUUUGCCAGUGCGGUAAUGACGAUGCCCAGAUUGGACAGGGAGCCGUUAAUGGCGGUCAUUUCUUUGAAGCGCUCCCCCUGA